GAUGAACGCUCGCUACAGGCUUAACACAUGCAAGUCGAGGGGCAGCAUGGUCUUAGCUUGCUAAGGCCGAUGGCGACCGGCGCACGGGUGAGUAACACGUAUCCAACCUGCCGUCUACUCUUGGACAGCCUUCUGAAAGGAAGAUUAAUACAAGAUGGCAUCAUGAGUCCGCAUGUUCACAUGAUUAAAGGUAUUCCGGUAGACGAUGGGGAUGCGUUCCAUUAGAUAGUAGGCGGGGUAACGGCCCACCUAGUCUUCGAUGGAUAGGGGUUCUGAGAGGAAGGGCCCCCACAUUGGAACUGAGACACGGUCCAAACUCCUACGGGAGGCAGCAGUGAGGAAUAGUGGUCAAUGGGCGCAGGCCUGAACCAGCCAAGUAGCGUGAAGAAUGACUGCCCUAUGGGUUGUAAACUUCUUUUAGAAAGGAAUAAAGUCGGGUAUGGAUACCCGUUUGCAUGUACUUUAUGAAUAAGGAUCGGCUAACUCCGUG
rnacentral:rRNA from 1 species